UACGAAGGGGGCUAGCGUUGCUCGGAAUCACUGGGCGUAAAGCGCACGUAGGCGGCUUUCUAAGUCAGGGGUGAAAUCCUGGAGCUCAACUCCAGAACUGCCUUUGAUACUGGAGAGCUCGAGUCCGGAAGAGGUGAGUGGAACUGCGAGUGUAGAGGUGAAAUUCGUAGAUAUUCGCAAGAACACCAGUGGCGAAGGCGGAGCUCG
rnacentral:rRNA from 1 species